CAAGUCGAACGAGAUCUUCGGAUCUAGUGGCGCACGGGUGCGUAACGCGUGGGAAUCUGCCCUUGGGUUCGGAAUAACUUCUGGAAACGGAAGCUAAUACCGGAUGAUGACGUAAGUCCAAAGAUUUAUCGCCCAAGGAUGAGCCCGCGUAGGAUUAGCUAGUUGGUGGGGUAAAGGCCCACCAAGGCGACGAUCCUUAGCUGGUCUGAGAGGAUGAUCAGCCACACUGGGACUGAGACACGGCCCAGACUCCUACGGGAGGCAGCAGUAGGGAAUAUUGGACAAUGGGCGAAAGCCUGAUCCAGCAAUGCCGCGUGAGUGAUGAAGGCCUUAGGGUUGUAAAGCUCUUUUACCCGGGAUGAUAAUGACAGUACCGGGAGAAUAAGCUCCGGCUAACUCCGUGCCAGCAGCCGCGGUAAUACGGAGGGAGCUAGCGUUGUUCGGAAUUACUGGGCGUAAAGCGCACGUAGGCGGCUAUUCAAGUCAGAGGUGAAAGCCCGGGGCUCAACCCCGGAACUGCCUUUGAAACUAGAUAGCUUGAAUCCAGGAGAGGUGAGUGGAAUUCCGAGUGUAGAGGUGAAAUUCGUAGAUAUUCGGAAGAACACCAGUGGCGAAGCGGCUCACUGGACUGGUAUUGACGCUAGGUGCGAAAGCGUGGGAGCAACAGGAUUAGAUACCCUGGUAGUCCACGCCGUAACGAUGAUACUAGCUGUCAGGCACAUGGUGUUUUGGUCGCGCAGCUACGCAUUAAGUUAUCGACUGGGGAGUACGGUCGCAGAUC
rnacentral:rRNA from 1 species